rnacentral:rRNA from 1 species
UAGUCCACGCCCUAAACGAUGCUUACUCGAUGUUUGGGUUUUACACUUGAGCAUCCAAGCGAAAGCGUUAAGUAAGCCACCUGGGGAGUACGUCGACAACGAUGAAACUCAAAGGAAUUGACGGGGUCCGCACAAGCGGUGGAGCAUGUGAUUUAAUUCGAUGAUACGCGAGGAACCUUACCUGGGCUCGAACGCUAUUUGCCCGGCUAUGAAAGUAGCCUUUCCUUCGGGACGGAUAGUGAGGUGCUGCAUGGUUGUCGUCAGCUCGUGCCGUGAGGUGUUGGGUUAAGUCCCGCAACGAGCGCAACCCUUAUCUCUAGUUGCCAGCAUGUAAAGAUGGGGACUCUAGAGAGACUGCCGGCGCAAGCCGAGAGGAAGGUGGGGAUGACGUCAAAUCAUCAUGGGCCUUUAUGCCCAGGGGCGACACACGUGCUACAAUGGCGAGUACAAAGGGGUAGCUAAGCCGCGAGGGUGGGAGCUAAUCCCAGAAAACCUCGUCCCA